rnacentral:rRNA from 1 species
GACGAACGCUGGCGGCGUGCUUAACACAUGCAAGUCGAACGAAGAGCGAUGGAAGCUUGCUUCUAUCAAUCUUAGUGGCGAACGGGUGAGUAACGCGUAAUCAACCUGCCCUUCAGAGGGGGACAACAGUUGGAAACGACUGCUAAUACCGCAUACGAUCUAAUCUCGGCAUCGAGGAUAGAUGAAAGGUGGCCUCUACAUGUAAGCUAUCACUGAAGGAGGGGAUUGCGUCUGAUUAGCUAGUUGGAGGGGUAACGGCCCACCAAGGCGAUGAUCAGUAGCCGGUCUGAGAGGAUGAACGGCCACAUUGGGACUGAGACACGGCCCAGACUCCUACGGGAGGCAGCAGUGGGGAAUCUUCCGCAAUGGACGAAAGUCUGACGGAGCAACGCCGCGUGAGUGAUGACGGCCUUCGGGUUGUAAAGCUCUGUUAAUCGGGACGAAAGGUCUUCUUGCGAA